rnacentral:lncRNA from 1 species
UUUCAAAAGGUUUCUAUGGAUUUUGUAUCUUAGUAUUUCAAAACCUGUUUCUGUGGUUGGAAAUAUUUUAACUGAUAGAUGUGGAUUUAUGUUUAAAUAUUGAAUGUAUAAAUGUGAAAUGUGGUAAAUGGUGUAUGAAUGUAUAACUGUUGGUUAUUUGUAUGUUCAUCUGGUUGUGGUUGUAUCAUGUUUGAACUCUUGUAUUUGUGCGACGCCAUGCAAAUACAGG